UACGUAGGGUGCAAGCGUUAAUCGGAAUUACUGGGCGUAAAGCGUGCGCAGGCGGUUGUGUAAGACAGAUGUGAAAUCCCCGGGCUCAACCUGGGAACUGCAUUUGUGACUGCACGGCUGGAGUGCGGCAGAGGGGGGGAUGGAAUUCCGCGUGUAGCAGUGAAAUGCGUAGAUAUGCGGAGGAACACCGAUGGCGAAGGCAAUCCCCUGGGCCUGCACUGACGCUCAUGCACGAAAGCGUGG
rnacentral:rRNA from 1 species